rnacentral:rRNA from 1 species
UAACCUGCCUCUUAGCGGGGGAUAACUAUUGGAAACGAUAGCUAAUACCGCAUAAAAGUCGAUAUCGCAUGAUAUUGAUUUGAAAGGUGCAAAUGCAUCACUAAGAGAUGGACCUGCGUUGUAUUAGCUAGUUGGUGAGGUAACGGCUCACCAAGGCGACGAUACAUAGCCGACCUGAGAGGGUGAUCGGCCGCACUGGGACUGAGACACGGCCCAG